rnacentral:rRNA from 1 species
AUACAGAGGGUGCGAGCGUUAAUCGGAAUUACUGGGCGUAAAGCGCGCGUAGGCGGCUUGGUCAGUCGGAUGUGAAAGCCCUGGGCUCAACCUGGGAAUUGCAUUCGAUACUGCCAAGCUAGAGUAUGGGAGAGGGAAGUGGAAUUUCCGGUGUAGCGGUGAAAUGCGUAGAUAUCGGAAAGAACACCAGUGGCGAAGGCGACUUCCGGGCCCAAUACUGACGCUGAGGUGCGAAAGCGUGGGGAGCGAACAGGAUUAGAAACCCUAGUAGUCC